CAGAUGUGGUCUCGCCGGGUUGCUACUAUGCUGCCUUGGUUAGUCAUUCCUCUUAUAGGAUUGUGGGCUGUUUCACCACUUCUGGCACCUGCUAUUCGAUUUGAGAUCACCUCACCUAUGCUCGCUUGGGUUUUUGUGCUUUUGGUAACUCUGUUUGCUUGGCGUGUGCGGAUGAAUGUGCAGUCAAGAUUUGGUAGAAAAUGGCAAUUGGGUUGGUGGGUCUAUUGCAGGGAAAUCAGUGGAAGAAUAGGAGUGGGUAUUUCGGAGGCGAUGAGAAUUAUUUUGCUGAGAAAUCUUAUUCAGGUUAGUCAGCCCAAAGUCCAAGAUACAUACCUUAUAGCAAAGUCAUCAUUUAUGCUUAGGACGAUGAGAAUGAAGAUAGUGAUGAGGGAACUGGCGCAGCCUUUGCAUUUCAUGUACUCGGUGGAAUUUUGGAGGAUGGCCGUGUUUUGGACAAUCUCUCUCCUUGCCUCAUAUUUGCAGUUGUUUUUCCAAAAGGCAUUUAGGCAGAGUUCUGAUGCCUAUCCCCGUUGCCUUCCUCCAAGAAAUGGGCCCAGCAGACCCCUUUGCAUCAUUACUGGUGCUACAUCUGGUCUAGGUGCGGCUGCUGCAUAUGCUCUUUCAAAAGAAGGUUUUUUUAUUGUUCUUGUUGGACGGUCAUCUAAAUUGUUACGUGAGACUGUGGAGAGGAUAAAAAAACAGAAUGAGGAUGCCCAGCUCAAAGUUUUUGAGGUUGACAUAUCAUCUUUCCAGUCAAUCUUAAAGUUCAAAAGCUCACUGGAGAAGUGGCUCUUGGAUUCCUUUAUGCAUUCUUCCAUCCAACUCCUGAUAAACAAUACUGGGAUAUUGGCAACAUCACAUCGUCCCACUGUUGAAGGCUAUGAUCAGAUGAUGGCUGCAAAUUACAUCGGUGCAUUCUCUCUGACCAAAUUUCUAUUGCCACUUCUGAGAAACAGCCCUGUUGGUUCACGGAUAGUGAAUGUUACAUCCUUUACACAUCGAAGUGUAUUUUCCAUGCAGGUUGACAAGGAAACUGUUGCUGGGAAGUGCUUCUCUAAAUCGAAACUAUAUCCAUAUGCUCAUAUCUAUGAGCAUUCCAAAUUAUGCAUACUGCUGUUCUCAUACCAGCUUCAUCGGCAACUGCACUUGAUGGAUAAAUCUUGUCGAGUCUCUGUCAAUGCUGCAGAUCCUGGGGCAGUGCAAACCAAUAUCAUGAGAGAAAUUCCUUCUUGUCUUUCACAUGUGACAUUUGUACUAUUGAAACUUCUCGGCCUUUUGCAGUCACCUAAUAAUGGGGUUAGCUCUAUUCUUGAUGCUGCCCUUGCACCACCAGAAACAUCUGGGGUAUACUUUUUU
rnacentral:misc_RNA from 1 species